AGUGAACGCUGGUGGUAGGCCUAACACAUGCAAGUCGAACGGCAGCACAGUAAGAGCUUGCUCUUACGGGUGGCGAGUGGCGGACGGGUGAGGAAUACAUCGGAAUCUACUUUUUCGUGGGGGAUAACGUGGGGAAACUUACGCUAAUACCGCAUACGACCUACGGGUGAAAGCAGGGGAUCUUCGGACCUUGCGCGAUUGAAUGAGCCGAUGUCGGAUUAGCUAGUUGGCGGGGUAAAGGCCCACCAAGGCGACGAUCCGUAGCUGGUCUGAGAGGAUGAUCAGCCACACUGGAACUGAGACACGGUCCAGACUCCUACGGGAGGCAGCAGUGGGGAAUAUUGGACAAUGGGCGCAAGCCUGAUCCAGCCAUACCGCGUGGGUGAAGAAGGCCUUCGGGUUGUAAAGCCCUUUUGUUGGGAAAGAAAAGCAGCAGGUUAAUACCCCGCUGUUCUGACGGUACCCAAAGAAUAAGCACCGGCUAACUUCGUG
rnacentral:rRNA from 1 species